rnacentral:rRNA from 1 species
UACAGAGGUCUCAAGCGUUGUCCGGAAUCAUUGGGCGUAAAGAGCGUGUAGGCGGCUUGUUAAGUCUUGCGUGAAAUCUCGGGGCUCAACCCCGAGCGGUCGUGAGAAACUGGCAGGCUAGAGUGCGGGAGAGGAGAGUGGAAUUCCUGGUGUAGCGGUGAAAUGCGCAGAUAUCAGGAAGAACACCCGUGGCGAAGGCGGAUCUCUGGGCCUUACCUGACGCUCAGGUGCGAAAGCUAGGGGAGCGAACAGG